rnacentral:piRNA from 1 species
UUGCGAACACAGCUUUUUAGU